rnacentral:rRNA from 1 species
UACGAAGGGGGCUAGCGUUGCUCGGAAUCACUGGGCGUAAAGGGUGCGUAGGCGGGUCUUUAAGUCAGGGGUGAAAUCCUGGAGCUCAACUCCAGAACUGCCUUUGAUACUGAGAUCUUGAGUUCGGGAGAGGUGAGUGGAACUGCGAGUGUAGAGGUGAAAUUCGUAGAUAUCGCAAGAACACCAGUGGCGAAGGCGGCUCACUGGCCCGAUACUGACGCUGAGGCACGAAAGCGUGGGGAGCAAACA